UACGGAGGGAGCUAGCGUUGUUCGGAAUUACUGGGUGUAAAGCGCGCGUAGGCGGGAGGCCAAGUCUGUGGUGAAAUCGCUCGGCUUAACUGGGCGGGGUCCAUGGAAACUGGUCACCUGGAGGUCGGUAGAGGCAAGUGGAAUUCCCGGUGUAGUGGUGAAAUGCGUAGAGAUCGGGAGGAACACCAGUGGCGAAGGCGGCUUGCUGGGCCGGACCUGGACGCUGAUGCGCGAAGGCGUGGGGAGCGAACGGGG
rnacentral:rRNA from 1 species